rnacentral:rRNA from 1 species
CCUACGGGCGGCAGCAGUGGGGAAUAUUGGACAAUGGGCGAAAGCCUGAUCCAGCCAUGCCGCGUGUGUGAAGAAGGCCUUCGGGUUGUAAAGCACUUUCAGUGGGGAAGAAAGCCUUGGGGCUAAUACCCUCGAGGAAGGACAUCACCCACAGAAGAAGCACCGGCUAACUCCGUGCCAGCGGCCGCGGUAAUACGGAGGGGGCGAGCAUUAAUCGGAAUUACUGGGCGUAAAGCGCGCGUAGGCGGUCUGAUAAGCCGGUUGUGAAAGCCCCGGGCUCAACCUGGGAACGGCAUCCGGAACUGUCAGGCUAGAGUGCAGGAGAGGAAGGUAGAAUUCCCGGUGUAGCGGUGAAAUGCGUAGAGAUCGGGAGGAAUACCAGUGGCGAAGGCGGCCUUCUGGACUGACACUGACGCUGAGGUGUGAAAGCGUGGGUAGCAAACAGGAUUAGAUACCCCAGUAGUC